UUUUAAAGUUAGGAGAGACUUUUUCAAGAAUGAAACAUCUGAAAUCUCCAACCAGAUCAAGAUUAACUGAUGCCCACUUGCAUCACUUCUUACGACUAGCAGUGACAAAUAUGGAACCGGACAUUGACCAUCUCAUUAGCCAAAAGCAGGCCCACAGUUCCCAUUGAAAUACUAGUAAGUGAUCUGUUUAUUUAUAAAUGUUCUUCAUUUU